AUUGAACGCUGGCGGCAGGCCUAACACAUGCAAGUCGAGCGGGGUUUUCGGACCUAGCGGCGGACGGGUGAGUAAUGCGUAGGAAGCUGCCCGAUAGAGGGGGAUACCAGUUGGAAACGACUGUUAAUACCGCAUAAUGUCUACGGACCAAAGUGUGGGACCUUCGGGCCACACGCUAUCGGAUGCGCCUACGUGGGAUUAGCUAGUUGGUGAGGUAAUGGCUCACCAAGGCGACGAUCUCUAGCUGGUUUGAGAGGAUGAUCAGCCACACUGGAACUGAGACACGGUCCAGACUCCUACGGGAGGCAGCAGUGGGGAAUAUUGGACGAUGGGCGCAAGCCUGAUCCAGCCAUGCCGCGUGUGUGAAGAAGGCCUUCGGGUUGUAAAGCACUUUCAGCGAGGAGGAAGGGUGGUGUGUUAAUAGCACAUCAUUUUGACGUUACUCGCAGAAGAAGCACCGGCUAACUCUGUGCCAGCAGCCGCCGUAAUAC
rnacentral:rRNA from 1 species